rnacentral:lncRNA from 1 species
UGCGUUUACUAAAUUUUCACAGAGCACUUGCUCUAAGCAAGCAGCAGCGUGGUUUCGGUGCCGCGAGAGCGGGGGUGGAGCGGCUGUGGAAGCCUCUUCGUGGUGGCGUGUGCAGUGCAGAGGGGGACGGGUGGCGCACCAGAUGCACUUGGUCAGGUAGAGGAGGAGAGGGACAAGCACUGGCGGGCACCGUGAGGGAAGGGGAAGGGGUCAGGUGCCCAGGAAAGCGGCUCCGAGGAGCCGUGGGCCCCUGUGUCCCUGUCUCCCGGGUCCAGUCCGGGGGGGGGGGGGGAGAUGACGCUGGCUCGGCCUCCGGUUGCUGCAUGUGCAUCGCUGCCCUGCAUCUGGCCGGGAGAGCGGUCGCCCUCGAUCCCCUGCCUAAGGCAGAGCGGGGAAGCUACUGUCUCUCCUGCGAGGACUGGGCUGCUGGGGGCUCCUCUGGGUGCAGGGCACUGUGAUGUGUGAGCCCCUUGCCCGAAUCAGGCCCUCAAUGUUACUCACACUGGGAAGCUUUCUCAAGCGUCGUGAAGGACGGAGGAUUCAGACCCAAUUUAGCUAUUGUGUAGGACACUGGGAAUGUUUGGGCUGCUGCUGGACACACGGGGCUUGCUGCUGAAAGUUCUGUGUUCAGGGAGAAAUUUCCUAUGGGAGGAGUGAGGGACGUGAGGUGCUUGACAAGUAGCCUGAUUCAGGUGGAGCGGAAGUUAGGCAAGUUUGAGACAGCGCUGCUGGUGAUGAGGAGGAGGAGAUGUGUGUCUGUGCAUGUGUGUACGUGUGCGUGUGUGAGAGAGAGAUGGCGGGGAGUACCAGGGAGACAGACACCAUGAAUUGUCCCUUCCUGUCUUUAUGACACAAGGUCAGAGGCUGCCUCUAAACCAAGAUGGCGAACCUUUUAGAGCUUUUAAUGACACGCACGGCCAGCUGUGGCUCACGAGCCUGGGUGCCCACCAGGGCCCUGGGGCCGCAUCAGCACUGUGGGUAACAGGCCUCGGGCCUGUCAGUCAGUCGGUAUGAGACAGCUGGGCGAGUCUCAUUUGUGUGGUGACCAGCCGAGCACACUGAUAGCCAUUAGUUCUUUGGGCCCAAGGUCGUGAAAUAGUUACUAUUAUUCACACCUGUCACAAAUGUAGAACCUUAACUAGCAGAGAAGUGUAAUGUCUUGCUGGAAGUCAGGUCUUUGAGAAGGCAAUGCAGGGCUCGAUUCCGGAACUUUCAGGCAACGAAUGUGCACAGUCUCCGUGUGGAGUGGUUCUCAAACCAGGGGACUAACGGAAGGGUGGCCGGCAAUCCCUGGAUCCUGUGAUGCGUGUUCAAGUGGUGCCACAGGCUGCCAGCGCUCAGAGCUGUGCUUUCGUCAUCACUGGAAACAGGCUUCUCUGAAUAUGUGCAAAGAUGAGAAACUUCAGGAGGCUUUGAAGAGCUUGGAGUCACCGUUAGCACAAAGAGAUGGGCAAUUGCGGCUGGCUGUGGUGGUACAGGCUGGAACCCUACCACUGGGGAAGCUGAGGCAGGAGGAUUGGAUGUUGAAGGUCAGCCCAGGCUGUAUUCUAAGAUCGAGGCAGCCUGAAGUACAGAGAGACCCUAUCCUCCCCCAAAAAAGAUGAUCAAAUGAGGCAUACAGUCUUUAAUUAAAAAGUUUGCUGUAAUAGCAUAUUUAAAAUAUAAUAUGCUAUCAUUAUGAUGCGUGAGUGUAAAAUGAUUGGUACUGUAGGCUCACAAAAGUGGUUUAAGUGAUACGAAGCGAUUUGUGGCUUGUUCAAGUAAUUGCUUUGAAGGAUGUGGUGGACAUUUACAUGUAUAAAUGCUGGUGUGAUAUUCAAAACGGUUCUGUUCUUUUUUCACACUGCACUUUCUUUUUUCAAAUUUUUGUUUUUAUUAGUACAAGUUGCAGUGCAUCGUGAUUACACUCAUUGUAGGGAGUUGGUGGAUGCACGUAACACAUCUUCGUGCUCUUUGCUUUCCCUUCGUCUCCCUUCCCUCCUCUCUGGGUCCUCUUCCCAUUUGAGGAAGUUCUGCCUCCCUGCUUCCUAUUAUCUCUCUCGUACUUUGCUCUUUAUUUGUCCUUUGGGUUUCUCAUGUUGGAGAAACCAGGCAGGAUUUAAGCCUGUGCUUCUGACUUAUUUCACUCCACACUAUGGUCUCAAGGUGCAUCCGUUUCCCUACAAAAGACUCGUUUGUCUCGCUUAUGGCAGAGUAGUGCUCUGCCGUGUGUAAAGACCACAUUUUCUUAUCUACUGUUCUGUUGAUGGAUGUAGGCAUUUCUCCUUUCAAAGACAGACGCUGUAUCUAUCAGUUAUAAAGGCAUUCUGAAAUUAAAGCAUGCCAUUUAGAGUGUCCGUACUUAGACCAUUAAGUUACCUUUGUACUGUACUGGAAGAACAACUGCAAUGCCACUUCUGCCAUAGACGUGUGCCUCUCACUGCUACUCCUAGGCAAGGACAAUCGGUCUAGAGGAUGAAGGGCCGCAGUUCCCCCUGUUGAGAUACAAAUGGUGAAGGGGGAUCUGCUCCAGUUGAGCCCAGCCUGGUCACGUGUGCGUGGGUGCGUGUAGGUGGGACAGCCGGCAGCGCCCCUGGGAGUCAGCGCUGUGGCUGGGCAGGGCUCUCGAUGCGGGAGGGCCCCGCUGCUGUCCAGUGUCUGCCUUGGCCAAGGCUCUGCCCGCGACACCACGUUGUCACCCGCUGGACACCCACUCCCGGUCUGAUUAAGCUCCGUACCCAGCCGUUUACCGGGCAGAGGCACAGGGCCUUUCUCCUGCGACCGCCGUCAGAGUCCACUUCCUCUUUCUCCCCCUGCUGUCCACCCUGUCGGGCCUGAAGCCGCCCAUCGGGAGCGCACGCGCCUGCCCAGCCUGGGUUUGGGCCAGGGUUCUAGUGCUUUCCAGAUUUCUUGCACUUUCUAGUGCAAAUGCGUUUCUGGGUCUUCUUUAUGCUUUUUCUCCCCCUCUUCUCUUCUGCUUCCCUCCCUUCACUUUUUGGAGGCAGGAUUUCACUCUGGAGACCAGGCUGGGCUUGAGCUCUCGAUCUUCCACCCCUGCCUCCGGGUGCUGGGAUGAGGUUCGGGAAACCCAGGAGCGUUUGUGUCCGCAGCGGUGGGAAGGACGAUGAGCAUCGUCUUCCGAGCGCAGCUGCCCUUGAAGCUGCUGCUCUGCCGUCUGACCCCUGGGGCGCCUCCCCGCGGGGCCUGCCCGUUGGGUCGCCCUCUGCCCGCGGCUGGGCCGGUCCGCGGCCUCGCACCCCGCCGCGCACGGGUCCUUCCCCGGGCCGGGUCGCACAGCUCCUGCGACACACUUUCAAACCGGCCCCGCCGUCCGUUACGUCUCGAGACCUCUCGUAAUGAAAGUACUCGGUUCAGAACAGGAAUAAUAAUGUGAAGCAAAUGAAAACGAAGGCGUCUAGGCAAGGAACAACGUACUGCUAUCUUGUGAAGAAGUGUUGCCAGGGCGACAGGCCUGGAAAUGGGCAAGUGACAGGAAAGGACAUGUGAUUUCUUCUGUGUGUGCACCUGCUGAUGUGAGAGCUGAGUACUAUGCUGUCCUCUCCAGCCACCAGAAUCAUGAUCCAAGUAAACUUCCUUACUUUACUGUCUGAAUCUCUCCCUCUGCUUGAAAUGCAUCAUGUAGUCAUUCCCAUGGGAAGGUUCUGAUUAAAGACAAAUCUGAUACGUGAGUUAGUUACAAUCUGCUGCCAGGUAUGGGAAAGGAAUAGAACCUUGGAUUCCAGACGAUGCACUAUUUCUUAUUCCACCCAGAGCAAUAUCUUCACUUACAGGACUUCUAUCUUCACCAAGUCAGUAUGCAAGGCCUUGUGACCUGUCCUCAGGAGUUGUGCAGGUUUUGGUACAUCAUCCGAGGUGGCCUUGAACUCUUUGUAGGCUGAGCUGUCCUCAAACUCAUGACACUCCUGCCUCAGCCUCCCAAAAGCUGCGAUUACAGGCACAGACCAUGUGGUGCAGGCUGGGAUCUGGAGAAGAAAAGAGGAGAAUUAGAGGAAGGUGUAAGAGGUUGCCUUGCUGAGCAGCCUUGCACAAGCAGGGAAUCUGAGACAGACUGCGGGAACAUUUGGGAGCAGCCCUGCUGGAAUGCCAACACAGCAGCUGAAGGGCAAGUCUGGUGCUGUGGGAGAGGGUGACUAUUCUGUCCAGCACUCACCAGGAGCAGAGACCCUGCAGCCAAAAGCUAAGAUAGUCUCAGAUGAACGUGACCAGGGCCAGGCUUUCUGCAUUUGCUGCAGCAGAACAAGUGGCUUGUUCAAUUCAGAAGGACCACUGUCCACACUGUGACUGCUGUCAUCAGUAAUAGCCUGUCCCAUGGCAGCCCUCUCACUUCAGAGAGCAGCUUGGCAAGCUCAGGUCUUCAUUUUCUAGGCCUUUCCAAACACUGUAUCAUGUCAUUUCCAUGUGGAAGGCUGACACUAUUUUUGUUUCAUCUGGAGGCAAUCACUGGCUAAUUGCUCCCCCAAACAGAAGCCAAGAACUUAUGAGAGAAGUCCCCUCUGCCAUAUUUGAAAAUGGGCCAGACAGAAGAUGGGAAGCAAUCACUAGUUGUGUUAUAUCCGAAUUCAUGUCAUCAUGGCUGAAAAGGGAAUUUUAGAGUCAGAUCUUGAAAAAUCUUUUUCUCAUACUUUAG